AUUGAACGCUGGCGGCAGGCCUAACACAUGCAAGUCGAGCGAGCGGCGGACGGGUGAGUAAUGUCUGGGAAACUGCCUGAUGGAGAGGGAGAACUACUGGAGACGGUAGCUAAUACCGCAUACCAUCAGAUGUGCCCAGAUGGGAUUAGCUAGUGGGUGGGGUAACGGCUCACCUAGGGGACGAUCCCUAGCUGGUCUGAGAGGAUGACCCGCCACACUGGAACUGAGACACGGGCCAGACUCCUACGGGAGGCAGCAGUGGGGAAUAUUGCACAAGGGGCGCAAGCCUGAUGCAGCCAUGCCGCGUGUGUGAAGAAGGCCUUCGGGUUGUAAAGCACUUUCAGCGGGGAGGCGUUACCCGCAGAAGAAGCACCGGCUAACUCCGUGCCAGCAGCCGCGGUAAUUC
rnacentral:rRNA from 1 species